rnacentral:rRNA from 1 species
AUUGAACGCUGGCGGCAGGCCUAACACAUGCAAGUCGAGCGAGCGGCGGACGGGUGAGUAAUGUAUGGGGACUGCCCGUUAGUGGGGGAUAACUACUGGAAACGGUGCCUAAUACCGCAUACUAUCGGAUAACCCAUAUGGGAUUAGCUAGUAGGUGGGGUAAAGGCUAACCUAGGCGACGAUCUCUAGCUGGUCUGAGAGGAUGAUUAGCAACACUGGGACUGAGACACGGCCCAGACUCCUACGGAGGCAGCAGUGGUGAAUAUUGCACAAUGUGCGCAAGCCUGAUGCAGCCACGCCGAGUGUAUGAAGAAGGCCUUAGGGUUGUAAAGGACUUUGAGCGGGGAGGCGUUACCCGCAGAAGAAGCACAGGCUAACUCCGUGCCAGCAGCCGCGGUAAUAC